rnacentral:rRNA from 1 species
UACAGAGGUCUCAAGCGUUGUUCGGAUUCAUUGGGCGUAAAGGGUGCGUAGGUGGCGCGCUAAGUCAGGUGUGAAAUUUCGGAGCUUAACUCCGAAACUGCAUUUGAUACUGGCGUGCUUGAGGACUGGAGAGGAGACUGGAAUUCAUGGUGUAGCAGUGAAAUGCGCAGAUAUCAGGAAGAACACCCGUGGCGAAGGCGGCUCUCUGGGACGGUACUGACGCUGAGACGCGAAAGCGUGGGGAGCGAACAGG